CUUGGGACUCUUAUGAAGAAACUCUGGGCUGAAGGAAUCCAGAGAAAGAGAGAGAGAGAGAGAGAGAGAGAGAGAGAGAGAGAGAGAGAGAGAGGAAUUGCAUUGCUUCUCAUGGCAAAGCCAGAAGCUUUCCUCUUGGUUCUCUUGGCUACUAGCUACUACUUCUUAUCCAGAACCUGAUACAAUAGAAGCAGGUGGUUUAAUUGCUACAUCAGUGUUGGAGCAGGAGGACAAGUGAAGGGUUGUCCUGGAGCAGUGCUUGAAAG
rnacentral:lncRNA from 1 species